rnacentral:snRNA from 1 species
GUGCUCACUUCAGCAGCACAGAUACUAAAUUGGAAUGAUAUGGAGAAGAUUAGCAUGGCCCUGGGCAGGGAUGACAUGCAAAUUUGUGAGGCAUUCCAUAUUUGU